UACGUAGGGGGCAAGCGUUGUCCGGAUUUAUUGGGCGUAAAGCGCUCGCAGGUGGUUUGUCGCGUCGUGCGUGAAAGACCCCGGCUCAACUGGGGAGGGUCGUGCGAUACGGGCGAACUGGAGGCCAGUAGGGGGAUGCGGAAUUCCGGGUGUAGUGGUGGAAUGCGUAGAGAUCCGGAGGAACACCAGCGGCGAAGGCGGCAUCCUGGACUGGUACUGACGCUGAGGUGCGAAAGCGUGGGGAGCAAACAGGG
rnacentral:rRNA from 1 species